rnacentral:rRNA from 1 species
GUGGGGAAUUUUGGACAAUGGGCGCAAGCCUGAUCCAGCAAUGCCGCGUGCAGGAAGAAGGCCUUCGGGUUGUAAACUGCUUUUGUACGGAACGAAACGGUCCUGGUUAAUACCUGGGGCUAAUGACGGUACCGUAAGAAUAAGCACCGGCUAACUACGUGCCAGCAGCCGCGGUAAUACGUAGGGUGCGAGCGUUAAUCGGAAUUACUGGGCGUAAAGCGUGCGCAGGCGGUGCUGUAAGACAGGCGUGAAAUCCCCGGGCUCAACCUGGGAAUUGCGCUUGUGACUGCAGUGCUGGAGUACGGCAGAGGGGGAUGGAAUUCCGCGGGUAGCAGUGAAAUGCGUAGAUAUGCGGAGGAACACCGAUGGCGAAGGCAGUCCCCUGGGCCUGUACUGACGCUCAUGCACGAAAGCGUGGGGAGCAAACAGGAUUAGAUACCCGUGUAGUCC